rnacentral:rRNA from 1 species
GAUGAACGCUGGCGGCGUGCCUAAUACAUGCAAGUCGAGCGAACAGAUAAGGAGCUUGCUCCUUUGACGUUAGCGGCGGACGGGUGAGUAACACGUGGAUAACCUACCUAUAAGACUGGGAUAACUUCGGGAAACCGGAGCUAAUACCGGAUAACAUAUUGAACCGCAUGGUUCAAUAGUGAAAGGCGGCUUUGCUGUCACUUAUAGAUGGAUCCGCGCCGUAUUAGCUAGUUGGUAAGGUAACGGCUUACCAAGGCAACGAUACGUAGCCGACCUGGGAGGGUGAUCGGCCACACUGGAACUGAGACACGGUCCAGACUCCUACGGGAGGCAGCAGUAGGGAAUCUUCCGCAAUGGGCGAAAGCCUGACGGAGCAACGCCGCGUGAGUGAUGAAGGUCUUCGGAUCGUAAAACUCUGUUAUCAGGGAAGAACAAAUGUGUAAGUAACUGUGCACAUCUUGACGGUACCUGAUCAGAAAGCCACGGCUAACUACGUG